UACGAACUGUGCAAACGUUAUUCGGAAUCACUGGGCUUAAAGGGUGCGUAGGCGGUUAUCUAAGCGGGGUGGGAAAGCCCCCGGCUCAACCGGGGAAUUGCGUUCUGAACUGGAUGGCUGGAGUGAGAUAGGGGUGUGUGGAACUUCCAGUGGAGCGGUGAAAUGUGUUGAUAUUGGAAGGAACGCCGGUGGCGAAAGCGACACACUGGGUCUCAACUGACGCUGAGGCACGAAAGCCAGGGGAGCGAACGGG
rnacentral:rRNA from 1 species